UACAGAGGUGGCAAGCGUUGUUCGGAAUUACUGGGCGUAAAGGGCGCGUAGGCGGCCUUCUAAGUCAGACGUGAAAUCCCCAGGCUUAACUUGGGAACUGCGUCUGAUACCGGGAGGCUUGAGUGCGGGAGAGGGAUGUGGAAUUCCAGGUGUAGCGGUGAAAUGCGUAGAUAUCUGGAGGAACACCGGUGGCGAAGGCGGCAUCCUGGACCGACACUGACGCUGAGGCGCGAAAGCUAGGGGAGCAAACGGG
rnacentral:rRNA from 1 species